AGUGAACGCUGGCGGUAGGCCUAACACAUGCAAGUCGAACGGCAGCACAGUAAGAGCUUGCUCUUACGGGUGGCGAGUGGCGGACGGGUGAGGAAUACAUCGGAAUCUACUUUUUCGUGGGGGAUAACGUAGGGAAACUUACGCUAAUACCGCAUACGACCUACGGGUAAAAGCAGGGGAUCUUCGGACCUUGCGCGAUUGAAUGAGCCGAUGUCGGAUUAGCUAGUUGGCGGGGUAAAGGCCCACCAAGGCGACGAUCCGUAGCUGGUCUGAGAGGAUGAUCAGCCACACUGGAACUGAGACACGGUCCAGACUCCUACGGGAGGCAGCAGUGGGGAAUAUUGGACAAUGGGGGCAAGCCUGAUCCAGCCAUACCGCGUGGGUGAAGAAGGCCUUCGGGUUGUAAAGCCCUUUUGUUGGGAAAGAAGAGCAGCAGGUUAAUACCCCGCUGUUCUGACGGUACCCAAAGAAUAAGCACCGGCUAACUUCGUG
rnacentral:rRNA from 1 species